UACGAAGGGUGCAAGCGUUACUCGGAAUUACUGGGCGUAAAGCGUGCGUAGGUGGUUUGUUAAGUCUGAUGUGAAAGCCCUGGGCUCAACCUGGGAAUUGCAUUGGAUACUGGCAGGCUAGAGUGCGGUAGAGGAUGGCGGAAUUCCCGGUGUAGCAGUGAAAUGCGUAGAGAUCGGGAGGAACAUCUGUGGCGAAGGCGGGUCUCUGGGCAGUAACUGACGCUGAGGAGCGAAAGCGUGGGUAGCAAACAGG
rnacentral:rRNA from 1 species